AGGUCAUACUUACGGACCUCACAACGUUCAUAUGGACGCAA
rnacentral:sRNA from 1 species